rnacentral:rRNA from 1 species
AGUGAACGCUGGCGGUAGGCCUAACACAUGCAAGUCGAACGGCAGCACAGUAAGAGCUUGCUCUUACGGGUGGCGAGUGGCGGACGGGUGAGGAAUACAUCGGAAUCUACUUUUUCGUGGGGGAUAACGUAGGGAAACUUACGCUAAUACCGCAUACGACCUACGGGUGAAAGCAGGGGAUCUUCGGACCUUGCGCGAUUGAAUGAGCCGAUGUCGGAUUAGCUAGUUGGCGGGGUAAGGGCCCACCAAGGCGACGAUCCGUAGCUGGUCUGAGAGGAUGAUCAGCCACACUGGAAGUGAGACACGGUCCAGACUCCUACGGGAGGCAGCAGUGGGGAAUAGUGGACAAUGGGCGCAAGCCUGAUCCAGCCAUACCGCGUGGGUGAAGAAGGCCUUCGGGUUGUAAAGCCCUUUUGUUGGGAAAGAAAAGCAGCAGGUUAAUACCCCGCUGUUCUGACGGUAACCAAAGAAUAAGCAACGGCUAACUUCGUG